AAAGCAACGACUCCUCUCAAAGAGAAUGUCUUUCCUUGGAGAGCAACAGUGGGGGGAAAUUCACUCAAAGGAAACUGAGUUGUGUUUGCAAGUGGGCGAAGGCAGGGAGACUCCGGAAGGAAGAGUCCAUUUUCCACUGAAAUGUCAAGCUGAGCCAUGCCACAGUCCAUCAGCACAGAAAUGUCAGGAGAAACAAAUGUGGCUGAGCUUGCUGUGAGGUUGGUGCUUUUGAAGAGGGGGACCAUUACUCCUGUCCAAAGUGCCGCGUAGGUCAGUCUGGAUCUCGUCAAAAGAAUCCACUUGAUGCAUUUCAUUUGGAUCUUCAGCUGGAAUGAUGAUGGAGUCUUCUGUGAUCUGGGUUUUUAGAUAUUGUUUGCACAUCUCUGAUUCGAGAGGGACUCCAGAACUAUCAUCACCCUCUGCCUCACUGAGGGCCACAACAGUGAUGGCAUGUAUUAGCUGUUUUGCAUGGUCCAAGCACUGUGAUUGAAGAAGCUUUGCUAUUGCCCUGACAAAGAAAUCUUUGACACGGUGUGACUUGUU